GGCUCGGUAGAUUAGUUGGUAAAGCACUCGUCUACUGUACAAGAGUCGUGGGUUCGAAUCCCACCUGAGCAC
rnacentral:tRNA from 1 species